GGGGGAGUUAAUUUUAUUUUAUUCUAUUUAGGUUUUGAUUCUGCCCUCAACCCUGCUGAGCACUAUGACUAACAUGUCACGUGGGCCGUUCUGUCUCCAGGGUGAGAUCAAAUAAAAGAAACCUGAGAGCAGUCGCUUGGUGACAGAUCUAAGAGCAUGCAGGCAACCACUGGCUGCGAACAUCAAAGGUCUCAUUCCUGUAUAUACAGAGGCUGCUAAUUCCAGUCAGGGAAGAAAAGCCCAGCCUAGCAUGACCAGCAUUCAGACAUGUGGAAAGGGAGAGGAGGACUUUGCAAAAUAUAACUACUUCAAAGCUAACUACUACCUUUUACACUCAAGUGGACACUACUAACAGUGUCUCGGCAGGCUCUCACUCCUGACCUCAGGCAAUAUACUAACAAAAUGCAGAAGUCCUAGGUGUUUAGCAGGUGCCUUGAAAUGAUGGUCUCUCAUAAUUUUAUCCAAGACAUUCCACCCUAGAGUCAAAGGGCAACAAACUGGGGUGACCCAGGGGCUCCAAGCCAUUUCCCCAAGUGUCCUGCUCUGUGUCCUUGGGGCUUUGAGAAGAUUUUCCCCCUGAAGUGACUCUUCCCACCUAGCAAAUCUCAGUCUAACUAAUGCUACAACUAGUCCUUGCAGCUUAGUGGGGGAAGGCUCCAUCAACUCUCAGAUUCUCUCAGGCCUGCAAAAGGACAGAGAUCUGCCAAUUUUGUGAGAAUGGAAUGCCCAUGGUUGUCAGCACCCCUGAAAUCACUCAGCACAAAACAAUCACUAAGGCAUAAAACAGAAUAAGAUUUAUUACAUGGGAUAGGAAGAACACACAAG